rnacentral:rRNA from 1 species
GGAUGUGAUCAUACGAGCACUAAAGCAUCGGAUUCCAUCAGAACUCCGAAGUUAAGCGUGCUUGGGCGAGAGUUGUACUAGGAUGGGUGACCUCCUGGGAAUUCCUCGUGUUGCAUUCC